AGCGAACGCUGGCGGCAGGCUUAACACAUGCAAGUCGAACGAACCUUUCCGGGUUUGUGGCGGACGGGUGAGUAACAAGUGGGAACGUGCCUUUAGGUUCGGAAUCACUCAGGGUAAGUUGUGUUCAUACCACUUGUGCUCAUAGGGGGAAAGAUUAAUCGCCUUUUGAUCGGCCUCCGUCUGAUUAGCUGGUUGGUUGAGGUAAUGGCUCAUCAAGGCGUCGUUCAGUAGCUGGUCUGUGCCGAUGAUCAGCCACAUUGGGACUGAGACACGGCCCAAACUCCUACGGGGGGCAGCAGUAGGGAAUCUUGCGCAAUGGGCGAAAGCCUGACGCAGCCAUGCCGCGGAAAUGAUGAAGGUCUUAGGAUUGUAAAAUUCUUUCACCGGGGACGAUAAUGACGGUACCCGGUGAAGAAGCCCCGGCUAACUUCGUG
rnacentral:rRNA from 1 species